UACCAGCUCUCCGAGUGGUAGGGAUGAUUAUUGGGCUUAAAGCGUCCGUAGCCGGCUUAGCAAGUUUCCUGUUAAACCCAGCGACUCAAUCGUUGGAUCGCGGGAAAUACUACUAGGCUAGGAGGCGGGAGAGGUCAACGGUACUUCUGGGGUAGGGGUGAAAUCCUAUAAUCCCGGGAGGACCACCAGUGGCGAAGGCUGUCGACUAGAACGCGCUCGACGGUGAGGGACGAAAGCUGGGGGAGCGAACCGGAUUAGAUACCCGGGUAGUCCCAGCUGUAAACGAUGCGGGCUAGGUGUUGGGGUGGCUACGUGCCACUUCAGUGCCGCAGGGAAGCCAUUAAGCCCGCCGCCUGGGGGAGUACGGCCGCAAGGCUAGAAACUUAAAGGAAUUGGGCGGGGGAGCACCACAAGGCGUGAAGCUUGGCGGUUC
rnacentral:rRNA from 1 species